rnacentral:pre_miRNA from 1 species
UAUUAUGCCAUGACAUUGUGUCAAUAUGCGAUGAUGUGUGUGAUGGCACAGCGUCAUCACGUGGUGACGCAACAUCAUGACAUAAGA